rnacentral:rRNA from 1 species
GUAGUCCCACACUGUAAACGAUGAUAACUCGCUGUCGGCGAUACACAGCCGGUGGCCAAGCGAAAGCGAUAAGUUAUCCACCUGGGGAGUACGACCGCAAGGUUGAAACUCAAAGGAAUUGACGGGGGCCCGCACAAGCGGAGGAACAUGUGGUUUAAUUCGAUGAUACGCGAGGAACCUUACCCGGGCUCGAACGGUGCAUGAAUAACUCAGAGAUGAGUUAGUCCUUCGGGACAUGUAUCGAGGUGCUGCAUGGUUGUCGUCAGCUCGUGCCGUGAGGUGUCGGCUUAAGUGCCAUAACGAGCGCAACCCUUGUCGUUAGUUGCCAUCAAGUAAAGUUGGGGACUCUAGCGAGACUGCCACCGUAAGGUGCGAGGAAGGGGGGGAUGACGUCAAAUCAGCACGGCCCUUACGUCCGGGGCGACACACGUGUUACAAUGGCAGGUACAGAGGGCAGCUACCCAGCGAUGGGGUGCGAAUCUCGAAAGCCUGUCUCAGUUCGGAUCGGAGUCUGCAACUCGACUCCGUGAAGUUGGAUUCGCUAGUAAUCGCGCAUCAGCCAUGGCGCGGUGAAUACGUUCCCGGGCCUUGUACACACCGCCCGUCAAGCCAUGGAAGCUGGGGGUGCCUGAAGUUCGUUACCGCAAGGAGCGACCUAGGGCAAAACUGGUAACUGGGGCUAAGUCGUAACAAGGUAACC